rnacentral:rRNA from 1 species
AUACGUAGGGGGCUAGCGUUAUCCGGAAUUACUGGGCGUAAAGGGUGCGUAGGUGGUUUCUUAAGUCAGAAGUGAAAGGCUACGGCUCAACCGUAGUAAGCUUUUGAAACUAAGAGACUUGAGUGCAGGAGAGGAGAGUAGAAUUCCUAGUGUAGCGGUGAAAUGCGUAGAUAUUAGGAGGAAUACCAGUUGCGAAGGCGGCUCUCUGGACUGUAACGGACACUGAGGCACGAAAGCUUGGGGAGCAAACAUGGUUAGAUUCCCUGGUAGUCCACGCCGUAAACGAUGAGUACUAGCUGUCGGGGGUUACCCCCCUCGGUGGCGCAGCUAACGCAUUAAGUACUCCGCCUGGGAAGUACGCUCGCAAGAGUGAAACUCAAAUGAAUUGACGUGG